AGUGGGAUAAUAUAAUGAGUAUGGUGGGUUCAUGCCCCACUUGUGGGAGGUUCGAUUUCCUCCCUCCUGCUU
rnacentral:tRNA from 1 species